rnacentral:lncRNA from 13 species
UAGCUGGGAUGACAGGCACGCACCACUGUGCCCGGCUUCUUAACUGUAUUUUUUAUAUAGACAGGGUUUUACCAUGCUGACCUCAACUCCUGAUUUCAAGUGAUCCACCCACCUCGGCCUCCCAAAGUGCUGAGAUUACAGGUGCCAGCAACUUCAGUCUGUACUCUGAGAUUAACUGCUUGACAAGUACCUCUGGUGGCUGUUUUCAAAGGGUGAGUGGAAAGAAGUGACAUACCAUGGCACAACAGCCAAGACAAAUCGUCAAAGAGCUUGGCAGCCUGGAAGAAAACCCUUCCUGAAGUUACAGAUGUGGAAUUAACCUUUACAUCCAUCCUGCAAAGUGGGAAGACACAGUCCUUACAGCAUCUCUGCACG